GCCGCUCGGAGAGCUGGGGCCCCGACGUGGGAACUGCGGGGGUGGAGGCGGCAUGGGGGGACAGAGGUAGGGCGGGUCCGGCUGGAGGCGGCAUCAAGAGGCCUCGGCCUCACGGUCUUGCAGGAGUUGUAUAGGCCGCCUACGCCUCUUGCUCCAUUUUCUAACUGAGGUGUUGAAGGCGUCACUUUACUUCUGGGCGCAGAGUGUCAUUUAGACCUUCUAGCAGGACAGUUGGGGCGGUUGGGUGCAGGGACCCGGGGCGGCGACCCUCUCACCUUUGGUCGGAGAAGCUUCCACCCACGGAGUUGGGCUGUUCCUCCCCAAUUUAUUUUUAUCCUCUUGUCAUUUAUUUUUAACCUGCCUUACCCCUCCCCAAGGUUUCGGACCCUCAUUGGUUUUUCAUACAGGAAUGGUUUGCGAAAGGGUCCAAAGAAAUCAAUGUUGCAAGGUAGCCAAGCUGGAAAGGGACUGUGCGUUGGCCCCACAGUUAAGAAGACAAGGAGAGCCUAAAGCAGUAACGCGCCCGCUGUGAAACGACGUCCCGGAGAAAGCAGGGAGAUGUUGAAAGGGGAUGUUGUUGAUUAUAGGCCUGUUGAUGGCUGACGAUCGGUUCCGAAGUAACACGGGUUCUUGGCUAAACCUACAGUGUUUGGAUAAUGAAGGUGGCACUAGAAAACAUUUCUUUGCAAGAGCACACAAGAGGACUACGUUUCUUAGUCUCCCUUGGAGCCGCAUCACUGUGUUCUGGCCAAUGAAAUAUGGGCAGAGCUUUUCAUAGACACCACUGGGAACACCUCAAGGAAUGGAGAUACCACGCCUGCAGCACCUUAUGCUCUACAGACUAAGUUUUAAAAAUAUGUAACAACUAUAAAUACAUUUUCUUUCUUUUUUAAUAAAGAUUGCCACCUG